CCUACGGGUGGCAGCAGUGAGGAAUAUUGGUCAAUGGACGAGAGUCUGAACCAGCCAAGUAGCGUGAAGGAUGACUGCCCUAUGGGUUGUAAACCUCUUUUAUAUGGGAAUAAAAUGUUCCACGUGUGGGAGUUUGUAUGUACCAUAUGAAUAAGCAUCGGCUAACUCCGUGCCAGCAGCCGCGGUAAUACGGAGGAUCCGAGCGUUAUCCGGGUUUAUUGGGUUUAAAGGGAGCGUAGGUGGAUUGUUAAGUCAGUUGUGAAAGUUUGGGGCUCAACCGGAAAAUUGCAGUUGAAACUGGCAGUCUUGAGUGCAGUAGAGGUGGGCGGAAGGCGUGGUGUAGCGGUGAAAUGCUUAGAUAUCACGAAGAACUCCGAUUGCGAAGGCAGCUCACUGGAGUGCAACUGACACUGAGGCUCGAAAGUGUGGGUAUCAAACAGGAUUAGAUACCCUAGUAGUC
rnacentral:rRNA from 1 species